rnacentral:rRNA from 1 species
CCUACGGGCGGCAGCAGUGAGGAAUAUUGGUCAAUGGGAGAGAUCCUGAACCAGCCAAGCCGCGUGAGGGAAGACGGCCCUAUGGGUUGUACACCUCUUUUGUCGGAGAACAAAACCCGGGACGUGUCCCGGACUGCGUGUAUCCGAAGAAAAAGCAUCGGCUAACUCCGUACCAGCAGCCGCGGUAAUACGGAGGAUGCGGGCGUUAUCCGGAUUUAUUGGGUUUAAGGGGUGCGUAGGCGGUCCGUUAAGUCACCGGUAAGAUUGCGGGGCUAAACCCCGUCGUGCCGUUGAAACUGGCGUUCUUGAGUGGGCGAGAGGUAUGCGGAAUGCGUGGUGUAGCGGUGAAAUGCAUAGAUAUCACGCAGAACUCCGAUUGCGAAGGCAGCAUACCGGCGCCCAACUGACGCUGAGGCACGAAAGCGUGGGUAUCGAACAGGAUUAGAUACCCCUGUAGUC